GUGCCAGCCGCCGCGGUAACACCGGCGGCUCGAGUGGUAACCGUUAUUAUUGGGUCUAAAGGGUCUGUAGCCGGCCGGAUAAGUCUCUUGAGAAAUCCAGCAGCUCAACUGUUGGGCUUUCAGGAGAUACUGUUCGGCUCGAGGCCGGGAGAGGUGAGAGGUACUUCAGGGGUAGGGGUGAAAUCUUGUAAUCCUUGAAGGACCACCAGUGGCGAAGGCGUCUCACCAGAACGGACCUGACGGCAAGGGACGAAAGCUAGGGGCACGAACCGGAUUAGAUACCCGGGUAGUCCUAGCCGUAAACGAUACUCGCUAGGUGUCGGCCACGGUGCGACCGUUGUCGGUGCCGUAGGGAAGCCGUGAAGCGAG
rnacentral:rRNA from 1 species